UUAGUGCGGACGGGUGAGUAACGCGUGAGGAUCUGUCCUUUACAGGGGGACAACAGCUGGAAACGGCUGCUAAUACCGCAUAAGCCUAAGGGUGAAAGAAGCAAUUCGGUGGAGGAGGAACUCGCGUCCUAUCAGCUAGUAGGUGAGGUAACGGCUCACCUAGGCGAAGACGGGUAGCCGGCCUGAGAGGGCGCACGGCCACACUGGAACUGAGAUACGGUCCAGACUCCUACGGGAGGCAGCAGUGGGGAAUAUUGGGCAAUGGGCGGAAGCCUGACCCAGCGACGCCGCGUGAAUGAAGAAAUCCUUCGGGAUGUAAAGUUCUGUUGUAUGGGAAGAGCAGAAGACGGUACCAUACGAGGAAGCCCCGGCAAACUACGUGCCAGCAGCCGCGGUAAUACGUAGGGGGCAAGCGUUGUCCGGAAUUACUGGGCGUAAAGCGCACGCAGGCGGAUUGAUAAGUCAGAUGUAAAAGGCUGAGGCUCAACCUUGGUUCGUCAUCUGAUACUGUUAGUCUAGAGUAUGUGAGAGGGAAGUGGAACUCCCGGUGUAGCGGUGAAAUGCGUAGAUAUCGGGAAGAACACCAGUGGCGAAGGCGGCUUCCUGGCACAAGACUGACGCUCAUGUGCGAAAGCUAGGGUAGCGAACGGGAUUAGAUACCCCGGUAGUCCUAGCCGUAAACGAUGGAUACUAGGUGUGGGUGUCGCAGGGCAUCCGUGCCGCAGUUAACGCGUUAAGUAUCCCGCCUGGGGACUACG
rnacentral:rRNA from 1 species